CUCCUGCCUCAGCCUCCUGAAUGCUGGGAUUACAGGAAAGGGCUGGAAAGCCACACAUGGUCAGGUGCUCGUGCAGAGGAGAAGGUUCCCUUAAGCAAGAACUCAGCUGUUCUCACUGUCAGAGGAGCUCGGGUCCUCGCUGUGGCUGAGGACGGCUGCAGUUCUCUGGAGGGGAGCUCUGGUCCUCACUUUGAGCAUCACUUCCUGGCUCCAGUGCAGAUCCCUCAGCCUGCUGGCACAGAUCCU